UGGUUGGUUGUCAGGGAUAUAUAUAGACACAAACGUGGAGUUCCGUAUUCAUUCAAGCAAGAUAAAUUAACGAAAACUUUUCUCUCUCCAGUUCUUGAACUUUCCUUCGCUCUCUCUGGAAGCAAACCAUUCAUCAGGGAUCAGGUCAAGAUGGUUUCUAGUGGCUUUUUCAUGAAACUUAUCUCAAUGGUGGUUUACCCUUUUCCCAUUCAUGUGGUGUUCAAGGAUUUCUGGGUUAGUCAAAGCGGCAGUACUGGUAGUUGUGCUCUCUUCAAAUCAACUGGUUUCCGAGAUAUUUCCUAUUUUCGGGUCAAGAAAAGUAGCACUGGUGGUUCUUCAAACCGGUCGGUCACAUGAAAGAUUGAAGGGUGAUGAUUCAAAUUUUCUAAGCUAUUUUAAUUGAGUGGCCAAUAAAUAUGAUGAGAUACCUAGUUUCUAAUAAGAUGUAUGUUGUUUUUGCUUGUUUUUAUGGUGUAUUUGGAUCGAAAAUUUAUAUAAUGAAAGGUUUUUAAAGGAAAAGAUUUGUAUAUGUCUUGAUGAUGAACAU